CACGUAGUUAGCCGGGGCUUCUUAGUCAGGUACCGUCCUUUUUCUUCCCUGCUGAUAGAAGUUUACAUACCGAAAUACUUCUUCCUUCACGCGGCGUCGCUGCAUCAGGGUUCCCCCCAUUGUGCAAUAUUCCCCACUGCUGCCUCCCGCAGGAGUCUGGGCCGUGUCUCAGUCCCAGUGUGGCCGUCCGCCCUCUCAGGCCGGCUACUGAUCGUCGACUUGGUGGGCCGUUACCCCGCCAACUAUCUAAUCAGACGCGGACCCAUCGUGUACCACUAUCGUUUUCCGCCCUGUGCCAUGCGGCACUGUGCGCAUAUGCGGUAUUAGCAGCCGUUUCCGGCUGUUAUCCCCCUGUACACGGCAGGUUGUCCACGCGUUACUCACCCGUCCGCCACUCAGUUACCAAAGCCGCCCACCGAAAUGUUUGUCUUUGGCACUCCGUUCGACUUGCAUGUGUUAGGCACGCCGCCAGCGUUCAUCCUGAGCCAGGAUCAAACUCU
rnacentral:rRNA from 1 species